UACGUAGGGGGCAAGCGUUGUCCGGAAUCAUUGGGCGUAAAGAGCGUGUAGGCGGCUUGGUAAGUCCGCUGUGAAAGUCCAGGGCUCAACCCUGGAAAGCCGGUGGAAACUGUCAAGCUCGAGUCCGGAAGAGGCGAGUGGAAUUCCUGGUGUAGCGGUGAAAUGCGCAGAUAUCUGGAGGAACACCGGUGGCGAAGGCGGCAUCCUGGACCAAUAUUGACGCUGAGGAGCGAAAGCUAGGGGAGCAAACGGG
rnacentral:rRNA from 1 species